rfam:Oryzias latipes DNA, chromosome21, strain: Hd-rR.
CAACAGGUUUUCCUGAAAACCACCAGAUCUUAAAGCAUGUUUGUAU